AAUCCGCUUUGAUAAUGCUGGGAUGUGAUGGGGAGCGAAAUUUAGUAGCGAAGUAGCUGAUUUCACACUGUCAAGAAAAGUCUCUAUCGAGGUUAAAGGUACCCGUACCGCAAACCGACACAGGUGGGUGAGGAGAGUAUCCUAAGGCCAGCGAGAGAACUGUUGUUAAGGAACUCGGCAAAAUGACCCCGUAACUUAGGGAUAAGGGGUGCCACCAUCAGGUGGCCGCAGAGAAUAGGCCCAAGCGACUGUUUACCAAAAACAUAGGUUUCUGCUAAGUCGCAAGACGAUGUAUAGGAGCUGACGCCUGCCCGGUGCUGGAAGGUUAAGGGGAUCUGUUAGAGCAAUCGAAGCAGUGAACUUAAGCCCCAGUAAACGGCGGCCGUAACUAUAACGGUCCUAAGGUAGCGAAAUUCCUUGUCGGGUAAGUUCCGACCCGCACGAAAGGCGUAACGAUUUGGGCACUGUCUCAACAACAGACUCGGUGAAAUUGUAAUUCCGGUGAAGAUGCCGGAUACCUGCGACAGGACGGAAAGACCCCAUGGAGCUUUACUGUAGCUUGACAUUGGGUCUUGGUACUACAUGUACAGGAUAGGUGGGAGGCUUUGAAACCAGGACGCCAGUUUUGGCGGAGCCAUCCUUGGGAUACCACCCUUGUAGUACUGGGACUCUAACCAUAGGCCAUGAAUCUGGUCUUGGGACACUGUCAGGUGGGCAGUUUGACUGGGGCGGUCGCCUCCC
rnacentral:rRNA from 1 species